rnacentral:rRNA from 1 species
GACGAACGCUGGCGGCGUGCUUAACACAUGCAAGUCGAACGGAAAGGCCCUGCUUUUGUGGGGUGCUCGAGUGGCGAACGGGUGAGUAACACGUGAGUAACCUGCCCUUGACUUUGGGAUAACUUCAGGAAACUGGGGCUAAUACCGGAUAGGAGCUCCUGCUGCAUGGUGGGGGUUGGAAAGUUUCGGCGGUUGGGGAUGGACUCGCGGCUUAUCAGCUUGUUGGUGGGGUAGUGGCUUACCAAGGCUUUGACGGGUAGCCGGCCUGAGAGGGUGACCGGCCACAUUGGGACUGAGAUACGGCCCAGACUCCUACGGGAGGCAGCAGUGGGGAAUAUUGCACAAUGGGCGGAAGCCUGAUGCAGCAACGCCGCGUGCGGGAUGACGGCCUUCGGGUUGUAAACCGCUUUCGCCUGUGACGAAGCGUGAGUGACGGUAAUGGGUAAAGAAGCACCGGCUAACUACGUGCCAGCAGCCGCGGUGAUACGUAGGGUGCGAGCGUUGUCCGGAUUUAUUGGGCGUAAAGGGCUCGUAGGUGGUUGAUCGCGUCGGAAGUGUAAUCUUGGGGCUUAACCCUGAGCGUGCUUUCGAUACGGGUUGACUUGAGGAAGGUAGGGGAGAAUGGAAUUCCUGGUGGAGCGGUGGAAUGCGCAGAUAUCAGGAGGAACACCAGUGGCGAAGGCGGUUCUCUGGGCCUUUCCUGACGCUGAGGAGCGAAAGCGUGGGGAGCGAACAGGCUUAGAUACCCUGGUAGUCCACGCUGUAAACGGUGGGUACUAGGUGUGGGGUCCAUUCCACGGGUUCCGUGCCGUAGCUAACGCUUUAAGUACCCCGCCUGGGGAGUACGGCCGCAAGGCUAAAACUCAAAGGAAUUGGCGGGGCCCCGCACAAGCGGCGGAGCAUGCGGAUUAAUUCGAUGCAACGCGUAGAACCUUACCUGGGUUUGACAUGGAUCGGGAGUGCUCAGAGAUGGGUGUGCCUCUUUUGGGGUCGGUUCACAGGUGGUGCAUGGCUGUCGUCAGCUCGUGUCGUGAGAUGUUGGGUUAAGUCCCGCAACGAGCGCAACCCUAGUUCACUGUUGCCAGCACGUUAUGGUGGGGACUCAGUGGAGACCGCCGGGGUCAACUCGGAGGAAGGUGGGGAUGACGUCAAGUCAUCAUGCCCCUUAUGUCCAGGGCUUCACGCAUGCUACAAUGGCUGGUACAGAGAGUGGCGAGCCUGUGAGGGUGAGCGAAUCUCGGAAAGCCGGUCUCAGUUCGGAUUGGGGUCUGCAACUCGACCUCAUGAAGUCGGAGUCGCUAGUAAUCGCAGAUCAGCAACGCUGCGGUGAAUACGUUCCCGGGGCU